GCACUGCCAUAUAUCAUGUACAUAAGCCUGAUAGGUUGAUAUGGAUAUAGAUAUUUCUCCCUUAAUUGAUCCUUUAAUGAUAUCGACAAUCAUACGUGCAUCAAGCUAUGGAUAAUCUCGCAUCAUAUCUGUAUUCAAGCAUGUGUGUGAUCCUUUAUAUACCAUAAUCUUUCAUCGCUGCAUCUUGGUCUGAAGGAAUGCAUGGAGAUGCAUGCAUCAAGUAUCAGACUAU
rnacentral:lncRNA from 1 species